GACGUCUGGUCUGUGGCGGUAGAGGAGGAUGAGUGGACGUCUGGUCUGUGGCGGUAGAGGAGGAUGAGUGGACGUCUCGUCUGUGGCGGUAGAGGAGGAUGAGUGGACGUCUGGUCUGUGGUGGUUUGGCAGCACUGGGGUUUGGCUCUGAAGCUGGAAACACACCUGCUCUCCGUCAGAAGAAAUGGUUUGAUCUGCUUCAUAAAGUUUGUGCUGAAAAAAAUGUAUAAUAGAAGAUGAUUAAAGACAUUUACCAUCACCUAAAGCUCUUUAUUUGUACAGAGUGAGAAAUGUCCAAUGCAGGUCCACGGCCAGUUGAAACUUCUUUGUGGAUUCCACCCUCCUAAAGUGUUCAUUUCAGACUUUCAGGUCGUAAGUGUUCCACCUGCUUUACUCCACUCCUACUGCUGUAGCGCCCCCUACCUCCACCCCCACCAUUAUACAGCCUGCACUUACAUUAUCACUGCUCAUUCAUUAUUUUCAGAUUUCAGUAUUUACUCCACACACAAUUAUCUCUGGAACGUCCCCAAAGCCUUUUAUAGUCAUAUUGCCUUUUAUUGGAUAGAAGAUUAUUUGUUUUCUUCAAAAGGGAAAUCAGAUCUUUACAUUUCCAGCACAUGUAUGAUUUUACAUGAAUGUCAGUCUGUUCUGUCGCCUUUUUUUUUUUUAGUUUACAAAGUCAGGGUUUGGUGGAUCCUUCAGCAACAAUUCAGCAGCCAAACCUAAUGCUGGUAGUCAAAGUCCAUCUCCUUCAGCCACUGAUUCAUCUGCAUCCAGUCCUGCUGUUUCUUCCAGUUCUGCUCCUUUAACCAUUUCUUCCUGGUGUUUUGAGUCACUCAGAGACUUGAUAUUAUUUUACAGUUUAUAAAUAUUGUUUGCUAAUAUUAUAUAGUUGUGUUAUGAUUCUACUUUUAUUAAUUAUUUUUAUCUAUUGUUUAUUAUUAGGUUGUUUUUUUUUAAACCCACUUUGGAACUUUUUAAUCAUAAAUGUUUAUAUUUAUUGUUAUAUACCCCUUACUAAUAUAUACAUCAUUUAGAAAUAGUAUUUGUAUCUUUGUGUGUUUGCAUUAUUAUAAUUUAUCAUGUGACAUUUUUGUAGCAUUUUCAGUAAUUAAAAAUAAAAUGUU